rnacentral:lncRNA from 1 species
GUGAGUCUUAUUCAUUACAUUUAGUUAUUGCUUGCUUUUCUAAAAGUCUAUCAACCUUUUCCAGCAGAUAUGCCAGCAAAGAUAUUCAGACAGUCUAGCUACUCUAAUUUGAUUGAUAGCCUGCAAUGGCUUCUGGGUAAUAGUGACUAGUAGUAUUACAGAGAAACAGGACAAAUCUGAGGGGGGCACGUGCCCCUUUGCCCCCUUUGAGCAUGAUGCAUCUUAUUGUGAUUAUAAUAUGUGACUAAAAACAGCCUAGGCUUUAUUUUAUGGUGAUGUGUACCCCCCCCCCCAUGUACUUAGCCAUUAGACGUGUGUUAUUAUAGCGCCUCAUACAGCGCCGCCGCCUGCUAAAAUGUAGGUUGCUAGAUUUCACCUGGCUUGCCUCUUGCUUCUGCUACCGCUGGCUGUCUGACUGAGAACAUUAAACCACCAGCAUCAUGAAGUAGAGGAAGAACAACGAUGUAGAGGAAGAACAACGAUGUGGAGGAAGAACAACGAUGUGGAGGAAGAACAACGAUGUGGAGGAAGAACAACGAUGUGGAGGAAGAACAACGAUGUGGAGGAAGAACAACGAUGUGGAGGAAGAACAACGAUGUGGAGGAAGAACAACGAUGUAGAGGAAGAACAACGAUGUGGAGGAAGAACAACGAUGUGGAGGAAGAACAACGAUGUGGAGGAAGAACAACGAUGUGGAGGAAGAACAACGAUGUGGAGGAAGAACAACGAUGUGGAGGAAGAACAACGAUGUGGAGGAAGAACAACGAUGUAGAGGAAGAACAACGAUGUGGAGGAAGCUGCAGUCUAACCCUUUAGUGAUAACUGUGACUGUUCAUAGCAACAGGUGUUGUUUGGUAUUUGAUACCUGUGACUGUUCAUAGCAACAGGUGUUGUUUGGUAUUUGAUACCUGUGACUGUUCAUAGAAACAGGUGUUGUUUGGUAUUUGAUACCUGUGACUGUUCAUAGAAACAGGUGUUGUUUGGUAUUUGAUACCUGUGACUGUUCAUAGCAACAAGUGUUGUUUGGUAUUUUAUAACUGUGACUGUUCAUAGCAACAAGUGUUGUUUGGUAUUUUACAACUGUGACUGUUCUGUGACUGUUCAGGAGCAGACAGACAGAACCUGUGCAGUCCCUUUCUCUCUAACCCAGGGCUUGGUUUGACAGAGGCAGAAACUCAAAUAGGAAGUACCCGUGCAAAGGACUAUUCAACGCUGGUCUGACCAAUCGGGAAUGGAUGCUUCAUGAUUGUUUUGAUGUGCAGUUACUCGGUACUCGGCAAACUACCUGCCCUCCAGGACACCUACAGCACCCGAUGUCACAGAAAGGCCAAAAAGAUCAUCAAGGACAACAACCACCCGAGCCACUGCCUGUUCACCCCGUUAUCAUCCAGAAGGCGAGCUGCUGCUUUGCCAAGUCACGCUACCGCCGGCCGUACCGGCUACUGAGGAAGAUCUGUCAGUUGAUCCCCACCGUUCCGGCCUGCCUACUGGAGAUCAGCCCUGUAGCCCACCGCCUGGCCACCGUACCCUGGGACAGAACCCUGUACUACCCCUCUACGCCCUGCAGGCUCCCAUUUAGCCACAGCUCACACCUUACCUUCAUGGAGGGACCAUAAGAACAUGCCUGAGAGCACACUUCCCUCGACCCUCGCCCGCAGCCGGACACUCCCCUUGGCCCCCGCCCACAGCCAGAAGUCCACAAUAGACCUGAAUUCGCUUACUGUCUAAAGCACCCCUGGUCUCAACACAGACCCCCAGAUACUCACACUACAAGCAGACACAGGUGUGGUGGUUGGUGUCUAACUGGUUGAUUGAUUGAUUAAUUGAUUGACAGAUUGAAUUGAUUUGAUCAUUAAAAGUAGAAGGCUGCUCCAGGCAGAGACAUGACAUACAUUAAAGUGCAGUCAAACACGUGAUCUUCCUAUUUUUUUUCUAAAUAUUUCCACACUAUGAGGUCGAAAUGACACUCUAAAAUUAUGAUAUUGUCCUUUUUGUAUAAGAGCUGUUUGAAAAAAAAAUGGCUGGAAUUUGGGAUGGAGUUUUGGACCCGCCGCAUACCAUCACAAGGCAAUCUGAUUAUAAUGGACCAAUGAACGUUCAUCGUUUAUUUGCAUCUGAUUAUAAUGGAC